UGCAGUCGAGCGGUAACAGAAAUUAGCUUGCUAAUUUGCUGACGAGCGGCGGACGGGUGAGUAAUGCCUGGGAAUAUGCCUUAGUGUGGGGGAUAACUAUUGGAAACGAUAGCUAAUACCGCAUAAUGUCUUCGGACCAAAGAGGGGGACCUUCGGGCCUCUCGCGCUAAGAUUAGCCCAGGUGAGAUUAGCUAGUUGGUGAGGUAAGAGCUCACCAAGGCGACGAUCUCUAGCUGGUCUGAGAGGAUGAUCAGCCACACUGGAACUGAGACACGGUCCAGACUCCUACGGGAGGCAGCAGUGGGGAAUAUUGCACAAUGGGCGAAAGCCUGAUGCAGCCAUGCCGCGUGUAUGAAGAAGGCCUUCGGGUUGUAAAGUACUUUCAGUAGGGAGGAAGGCGCUGUCGUUAAUAGCGGCUUCGUUUGACGUUACCUACAGAAGAAGCACCGGCUAACUCCGUGCCAGCAGCCGCGGUAAUACGGAGGGUGCGAGCGUUAAUCGGAAUUACUGGGGGUAAAGCGCAUGCAGGUGGUUCAUCAAGUCAGAUGUGAAAGCCCGGGGCUCAACCUCGGAACCGCAUUUGAAACUGGUGAACUAGAG
rnacentral:rRNA from 1 species